rnacentral:rRNA from 1 species
CAGUCGCCGCGGGAAUACGAAGGGGGCUAGCGUUGUUCGGAAUUACUGGGCGUAAAGCGCACGUAGGCGGACAUUUAAGUCAGGGGUGAAAUCCCGGGGCUCAACCCCGGAACUGCCUUUGAUACUGGGUGUCUAGAGUAUGGAAGAGGUGAGUGGAAUUCCGAGUGUAGAGGUGAAAUUCGUAGAUAUUCGGAGGAACACCAGUGGCGAAGGCGGCUCACUGGUCCAUUACUGACGCUGAGGUGCGAAAGCGUGGGGAGCAAACAGGAUUAGAGACCCGAGUAGUCCCUGUCUCUUAUAC